GCCUCUAUAGAUCAAUGUUAAAUCGCCUCCGCGUGCUUUUAGUUGUACUUCGGAAGAGACGUAGGUUCGAGUCCUACUGGGGGCG